CAGUGGUCUGGCUGUGUUGGGCCGGGCUGGGAGGUGGUGGUGGUGGUCUCUGGGUGCUGGUCUAGGUGGAGAGGCAGAGGCAGGAGGAGCCUGCAGUGAAGGAGUGACUGUGGGUGUUGAGGUGGUGCCCGUGCCAGGCCAUGCCUGGGGGCCAGAGAGGGCAGAGGAGAUAGCAGCUGAGCCCUGCCCUCCCUAGAGACACUGGUAGGAGGCAGCCUCAGCAAUGGCAACAGACCCAGAAACAGAAACCACACCCCCUCUACAUACAGAGAACCCAGUCCAGUAGGAAGCCACUCCCCCUCUACAUACAAAGAACCCAGUCCAGGAGGAAGCCACUCCCCCUCUACAUACAGAGAACCCAGUCCAGGAGGAAGCCACUCCCCCUCUACAUACAGAGAACCCAGUCCAGGAGGAAGCCACUCCCCCUCUACAUACAGAGAACCCAGUCCAGUAGGAAGCCACUCCCCCUCUACAUACAGGGAACCCAGUCCAGGAGGAAGCCACUCCCUCUCCUCUGGUGUAGAGUUCCAUGAAACAGAAAGUCAUCUUUCAUACUGCCAUUGCUUAACCUACGGGAGAGAGCACCAAAAUGGCAGAGAAU
ensembl:lncRNA